UUGUCAUCAGUGGGCACUUCCUUGUUAAGUCCUUAAACCUCUCCCAUGCUUCGUAGAGAGUCUCACCAUCUUGUUGCCUGAAAAUUUGUACCUCAGCUCUCAGCCU